UCCACCAAUUGUAAUUGUGAAUUCGACUACAUCUUAGUCCACUUACUUAAUUCAAAAAAAAGUUGAGAAAAAUAAAUCGUUCUGAGGAGGGCCCAUAUCCGGGUCGAAACGUUAACUAAAAAUACGUUUACUUAGUUGACCGAUCACCAGGAUUCUAUAAUAGAUUACAUACGAGGUCGAGAAUUCUUAUUCAUCAAUAAAAUCCAUUAUCACUGCACUAAUACCAUCGGUGACCUCGAUGUGGUUUUCAAGGAUAGGAACCUGGCUGUUAUUGAACAAAGAGGAAUGAA